UUUCCUAUGGGGGUAGAGCACUGGAUGGGCUAGGGGGUCGCGAGACCUACCAAACCUAACCAAACUCCGAAUACCAUAGAGACAAGUCCGGGAGACAGACGGCGGGUGCUAAGGUCCGUCGUCAAAAGGGAAACAGCCCUAACCUACAGCUAAGGUCCCCAAGUCAUAUCUAAGUGGGAAAGCAUGUGGGAAUCCCAAAACAACCAGGAGGUUGGCUUAGAAGCAGCCAUCCUUUAAAGAAAGCGUAAUAGCUCACUAGUCGAGUCGGCCUGCGCGGAAGAUGUAACGGGGCUAAAUUGGUAACCGAAGCUGCGGAUGCAUGCUUGCAUGCAUGGUAGAGGAGCGUUCUGUAAGCCGUUGAAGGUGAACCGGGAGGUUUGCUGGAGGUAUCAGAAGUGCGAAUGCUGACAUGAGUAACGAUAAAGGGGGUGAGAGGCCCCCUCGCCGAAAAUCCAAGGUUUCCUGCUCAACGCUAAUCGGAGCAGGGUGAGUCGGUCCCUAAGGCGAGGCAGAAAUGCGUAGUCGAUGGAAAACAGGUUAAUAUUCCUGUACCGGUUGUUACUGCGAUGGGAUGACGGAGAAGGUUAGGUUAGCCAACUGUUGGAUAUGUUGGUUUAAGUGUGUAGGCGUGCUUUAUAGGAAAAUCCGUAGAGCUAAGCUGAGGCAUGAUGACGAGUCUCAAUGGAGACGAAGUAACUGAUACCAGGCUUCCAGGAAAAGUCUCUAAGCUUCAGGUAACAAACGACCGUACCCCAAACCGACACAGGUGGAUGGGAUGAGAAUUCUAAGGCGCUUGAGAGAACUCGGGUGAAGGAACUAGGCAAAAUAGCACCGUAACUUCGGGAGAAGGUGUGCCCUUGUUAGGUGAAGCGACUUGCUCGUGGAGCUGAAGAGGGUUGCAGUGAACUGGUGGCUGCGACUGUUUAUUAAAAACACAGCACUCUGCAAACACGAAAGUGGACGUAUAGGGUGUGACGCCUGCCCGGUGCCGGAAGGUUAAUUGAUGGGGUUAGCGCUUGCGCGAAGCUCUUGAUCGAAGCCCCGGUAAACGGCGGCCGUAACAAUAACGGUCCUAAGGUA
rnacentral:rRNA from 12 species